rnacentral:rRNA from 1 species
CUACGGGGUGCUGCAGACGAGAAGCUUCGGCAAUGGGCGAAAGCCUGACCGAGCGAUGCCGCGUGAGCGAAGAAGGCCCUAUGGGUUGUAAAGCUCUGUCAGAUUGGGAAGAAAGCUUCGGGGUUAAUACCCCCGAAGUGUGACGGUACCAUCAGAGGAAGCACCGGCUAACUCCGUGCCAGCAGCCGCGGUAAUACGGAGGGUGCAAGCGUUGUUCGGAUUCACUGGGUAUAAAGGGUGCGCAGGCGGCCUGGGAAGUCAGGGGUGAAAUAUGACGGCUCAACCGUCAAACUGCCUCUGAAAGUGCCAGGCUUGAGUCCGGGAGAGGAAGGUGGAAUUCCUGGUGUGGCGGUGAAAUGCGUAAAUAUCAGGAGGAACACCGGUGGCGAAGGCGGCCUUCUGGCCCGGAACUGACGCUCAUGCACGAAAGCCAGGGGAGCGAACGGGAUUAGAUACCCGAGUAGUC